UGAACGCUGGCGGCGUGCUUAACACAUGCAAGUCGAACGAAGCAUUUAGGACAGAUUACUUCGGUUUGAAGUUCUUUAUGACUGAGUGGCGGACGGGUGAGUAACGCGUGGGUAACCUGCCUUGUACUGGGGGAUAGCAGCUGGAAACGGCUGGUAAUACCGCAUAAGCGCACAAUGUUGCAUGACAUGGUGUGAAAAACUCCGGUGGUAUAAGAUGGACCCGCGUCUGAUUAGCUAGUUGGUGAGAUAACAGCCCACCAAGGCGACGAUCAGUAGCCGACCUGAGAGGGUGACCGGCCACAUUGGGACUGAGACACGGCCCAGACUCCUACGGGAGUCAGCAGUGGGGAAUAUUGCACAAUGGAGGAAACUCUGAUGCAGCGACGCCGCGUGAGUGAAGAAGUAAUUCGUUAUGUAAAGCUCUAUCAGCAGGGAAGAUAGUGACGGUACCUGACGAAGAAGCUCCGGCUAAAUACGUG
rnacentral:rRNA from 1 species